rnacentral:scRNA from 1 species
CAUAAAUGGUUUCUGCAUUUUCGAUUGCUUUCA